AGAAAAAUCUAUGGUGAUGCAGCCGUGGGUCGGAAAAACCUGCAGAUGGUGGACAUCGCUAGACAGCACGGUUCAGCUGUUAAGUUCUGUGGCAGUGGAGGUGCAGUUGUUGGGCUGUGUUCCGACCAAAACAAUCUGAUCCAAAUGAAGAGGCAACUUCAGGAAGAAGGUUUCGUAGUUUGUGACAUCAUUCCAUACAGCAGCACCCCUGCUGACAAUAAUGGAUCAGUCCUGUUGCGAGGCAACAGCCAGCAUAAAUAACGACUCAGUAAUAUAUUCCAUA